rnacentral:lncRNA from 11 species
CUCUUCUGCUUUAUCUAUGUCAAACUCAAGGUCCACAGACCAAAUGCGGCCUGCCAUGGAAUUCUAUGUGGCUGACCUCUAGAUGCUGGUGAAGAGGGCCCAACACAGACUGGACUGUCUGAGCAGCCCGGAGAGGUAACUCAAGCUCUUUUUGGCUCAGGAUCCCUUGCAAAAUGCAUCCAGUCUGGAGGGGAGAAAGAGGAAAGGAAAUCCUUCGGCCUCCGGAGUA